UGGCGAGGUGCCUUCCGAGUUCCCUGGAACGGGACGCCAUAGAGGGUGAGAGCCCCGUCUGGUCGGACACCGAGCCUCUGUAAAGCUCCUUCGACGAGUCGAGUAGUUUGGGAAUGCUGCUCAAAAUGGGAGGUAUAUGUCUUCUAAAGCUAAAUAUUGGCCAGAGACCGAUAGCGCACAAGUAGAGUGAUCGAAAGAUGAAAAGCACUUUGAAAAGAGGGUUAAAAAGUACGUGAAAUUGUUGAAAGGGAAGCGCCUAUGACCAGACUUGGGCCCGGUGAAUCAUCCAGCGUUCUCGCUGGUGCACUUUGCCGGGCACAGGCCAGCAUCAGUUUGGCCCGGGGGAGAAAGGCUUUGGGAACGUAGCUCCUCGGAGUGUUAUAGCCCUUUGCACAAUACCCUGGGCCGGACUGAGGACCGCGCAUCUGCAAGGAUGCUGGCGUAAUGGUCAUCAGCGAC
rnacentral:rRNA from 1 species